rnacentral:rRNA from 1 species
CCUACGGGGUGCAGCAGUGGGGAAUAUUGGGCAAUGGGCGCAAGCCUGCUCCAGCAAAGCCGCGUGCAGGAAGAAGGCUUUCGGGUCGUAAACUUCUUUUGUCAGGGAAGAGUAGAAGACGGUCCCUGACGAAUACGCCACGGCUAACUACGUGCCAGCAGCCGGGGUAAUACGUAGGUGGCAAGCGUUGUCCGGAUUUACUGGGUGUAAAGGACGUGUAUACGGGGUGAAAAGUCAGAUGUGAAAUCCUGCGGCUUAACCGAAGAACUGCAUUUGAAACUGUUGAUCUUGAGUACUGGAGAGGCAUGCGGAAUUCCUAGUGUAGCGGUGAAAUGCGUAGAUAUUAGGAGGAACACCAGUGGCGAAGGCGGUCUGCUGGACAGCAACUGACGGUGAGGCGCGAAAGCGUGGGGAGCAAACAGGAUUAGAUACCCGGGUAGUC